rnacentral:piRNA from 1 species
UUAAAUGAAGUUGAACAGUAG